rnacentral:rRNA from 1 species
UGCGAGUGAAGCGGCAAAAGCUCAAAUUUGAAAUCGGUGUGCCUAAAGUACAUCGAGUUGUAAUUUGGAGGGACAACUUCGGACUGAACCACACCGUAAGUUUCUUGGAACAGGACAUCAUAGAGGGUGAGAAUCCCGUGUCUUGGUGUAGGGUCAAACCAUGUGAAGUGUCUCCGACGAGUCGAGUUGUUUGGGAAUGCAGCUCAAAAUGGGUGGUAAAUUUCAUCUAAAGCUAAAUAUUGGCGAGAGACCGAUAGCGCACAAGUAGAGUGAUCGAAAGAUGAAAAGCACUUUGAAAAGAGAGUUAAAAAGUACGUGAAAUUGUUGAAAGGGAAGCGCUUACGACCAGACUCGAUCUUUGGUGAUCAGCCGGAUUUCGGUUCGGUGCCCUCGCCAUUGAUUGGGCCAGCAUCGGUUCUGACGGUGGGAUAAAAGGAGGAGGAAUGUAGCUCCCCUCGGGGAGUGUUAUAGCCUCCUUCACAAUGCCGCCAGUUGGGACCGAGGACCGC